CUACACACGUGCUACAAUGGGUGGUACAAAGAGCAGCUAACUCGCGAGAGUAUGCAAAUCUCAAAAAGCCAUCCUCAGUUCGGAUUGGAGUCUGCAACUCGACUCCAUGAAGUUGGAAUCGCUAGUAAUCGCGGAUCAGCAUGCCGCGGUGAAUACGUUCCCGGGCCUU
rnacentral:rRNA from 1 species